rnacentral:tRNA from 1 species
UGGCUCAGUGGUAGAGUGCUCGCCUUGCAUGUGUGAGGCACUGGGUUCAAUUCUCAG